AGGCACAGUGGCUCACACCUCUAAUCCUAACACUUUGGGAGGCUGAGGCCGGCGGAUUGUCUGAGCUAAGGACUUCGAGACCAGCCUGGGCAACACAGUGAAACCCCAUCUCUAC